CUACGGACUCAUUGGGUGCAGCAGGUAAGAGAGAAAACCUAUACCCAUAUUGCUGACUUGGGAAGUAGCCCUAUUUGUCUCUGAUGUCACAGAAGAAGAGUGACAGUCAAAUGUUGGUUACUUUUCCUGUUGCCUUAGUGAUCACUGUAGCUGAUGUUUGCUGAGAACCGUUUAUGUGCCAAUCCCUGCUCUAAGCACGUGGACUAAUGCAUCAACUCUCAACAACAACUUGUGAGGACCUACAGGUUGUCCUCCUUCCAUUCCUAUGCC
rnacentral:lncRNA from 1 species